GUGGACAUGAAGCUAGGGUUAUUGUUUGGGCUACGGUUAAGGUUGAACCAGGAUGUGGACAUGAAGCUAGGGUUAGGGUUUAGGCUACGGUUAAGGUUGAACCAGGAUGUGGACAUGAAGCUAGGAUUAGGGUUUAGGCUACGGUUAAGGUUGAACCAGGAUGUGGACAUGAAGCUAGGGUUAGGGUUUAGGCUACGGUUAAGGUUGAACCAGGAUGUGGACAUGAAGCUAGGGUUAUUGUUUGGGCUACGGUUAAGGUUGAACCAGGAUGUGGACAUGAAGCUAGGGUUAGGGUUUAGGCUACGGUUAAGGUUGAACCAGGAUGUGGACAUGAAGCUAGGGUUAGGGUUUAGGCUACGGUUAAGGUUGAACCAGGAUGUGGACAUGAAGCUAGAGUUAGGGUUUAGGCUACGGUUAAGGUUGAACCAGGAUGUGGACAUGAAGCUAGGGUUAGGGUUUAGGCUAUGGUUAAGGUUGAACCAGGAUGUGGACAUGAAGCUAGGGUUAGGGUUUAGGCUACGGUUAAGGUUGAACCAGGAUGUGGACAUGAAGCUAGGGUUAGGGUUUAGGCUACGGUUAAGGUUGAACCAGGAUGUGGACAUGAAGCUAGGGUUAUGGUUUAGGCUACGGUUAAGGUUGAACCAGGAUGUGGACAUGAAGCUAGGGUUAGGGUUUAGGCUACGGUUAAGUUUGAACCAGGAUGUGGACAUGAAGCUAGGAUUAGGGUUUAAGCUACGGUUAAGGUUGAACCAGGAUGUGGACAUGAAGCUAGGGUAAUGGUUUAGGCUACGGUUAAGGUUGAACCAGGAUGUGGACAUGAAGCUAGGAUUACGGUUUAGGCUACGGUUAAGGUUGAACCAGGAUGUGGACAUGAAGCUAGGGUUAGGGUUUAGGCUACGGUUAAGGUUGAACUGGAUGUGGACAUGAAGCUAGUGUUAGGGUUUAGGCUACAGUUAAGGUUUAACCAGGAUGUAGACAUGAAGUUAGGGUUAUUGUUUGGGCUACGGUUAAGGUUGAACCAGGAUGUGGACAUGAAGCUAGAGUUAGGGUAUAGGCUAUGGUUAAGGUUGAACCAGGAUGUGGACAUGAAGCUAGGGUUAGGGUUUAGGCUACGGUUAAGGUUGAACCAGGAUGUGGACAUGAAGUGAGGGUUAUUGUUUGGGCUACGGUUAAGGUUGAACCAGGAUGUGGACAUGAAGCUAGGGUUAGGGUUUAGGCUACGGUUAAGGUUGAACCAGGAUGUGGACAUGAAGCUAGGGUUAGGGUUUAGGCUACGGUUAAGGUUGAACCAGGAUGUGGACAUGAAGCUAGGGUUAGGGUUUAGGCUACGGUUAACGUUGAACCAGGAUGUGGACAUGAAGCUAGAGUUAGGGUUUAGGCUACGGUUAAGGUUGAACCAGGAUGUGGACAUGAAGCUAGGGUUAGGGUUUAGGCUACAGUUAAGGUUGAACCAGGAUGUGGACAUGAAGCUAGGGUUAGGGUUUAGGCUACAGUUGGGUUGAUCCUCUCAAUCCUCUCAUUUGUAUUAAUUCAAAUGUUCC
rnacentral:lncRNA from 1 species